rnacentral:tRNA from 1 species
GGAGAGGUGGCCGAGCGGCUUAAGGCGACGGUUUGCUAAACCGUUGUACGGGUGAAUGCCUGUACCCAGGGUUCAAAUCCCUGCCUCUCCG